CCUACGGGGGGCAGCAGUGGGGAAUAUUGGACAAUGGGCGAAAGCCUGAUCCAGCCAUGCCGCGUGUGUGAAGAAGGCCUUCGGGUUGUAAAGCACUUUCAGUGGGGAAGAAAGCCUUGGGGCUAAUACCCUCGAGGAAGGACAUCACCCACAGAAGAAGCACCGGCUAACUCCGUGCCAGCAGCCGCGGUAAUACGGAGGGUGCGAGCGUUAAUCGGAAUUACUGGGCGUAAAGCGCGCGUAGGCGGUCUGAUAAGCCGGUUGUGAAAGCCCCGGGCUCAACCUGGGAACGGCAUCCGGAACUGUCAGGCUAGAGUGCAGGAGAGGAAGGUAGAAUUCCCGGUGUAGCGGUGAAAUGCGUAGAGAUCGGGAGGAAUACCAGUGGCGAAGGCGGCCUUCUGGACUGACACUGACGCUGAGGUGCGAAAGCGUGGGUAGCAAACGGGAUUAGAUACCCGGUAGUC
rnacentral:rRNA from 1 species